rnacentral:rRNA from 1 species
UGGGGAAUAUUGGACAAUGGGGGAAACCCUGAUCCAGCAAUGCCGCGUGAGUGAAGAAGGCCUUAGGGUUGUAAAGCUCUUUCGCCCGCGAAGAUAAUGACGGUAGCGGGAGAAGAAGCCCCGGCUAACUCCGUGCCAGCAGCCGCGGUAAUACGGAGGGGGCUAGCGUUGUUCGGAAUUACUGGGCGUAAAGCGUACGUAGGCGGAUGCGCAAGUUGGGGGUGAAAUCCCGGGGCUUAACCUCGGAAUUGCCCUCAAAACUGCACGUAUUGAGACCGAAAGAGGUAAGGGGAAUUCCUAGUGUAGAGGUGAAAUUCGUAGAUAUUAGGAAGAACACCAGUGGCGAAGGCGCCCUACUGGCUCGGUACUGACGCUGAGGUACGAAAGCGUGG